rnacentral:rRNA from 1 species
UUGCUCUUCAAAUCGAGUGGCGAACGGGUGAGUAACGCGUGAGGAACCUGCCUCAAAGAGGGGGACAACAGUUGGAAACGACUGCUAAUACCGCAUGACACAUAGGUGUCGCAUGGCACUUAUGUCAAAGAUUUAUCGCUGAAAGAUGGGCUCGCGUCCGAUUAGAUAGUUGGUGAGGUAACGGCUCACCAAGGCGACGAUCAGUAGCCGGUCUGAGAGGAUGAACGGCCACACUGGAACUGAGACACGGUCCAGACUCC